rnacentral:rRNA from 1 species
UGGUCCUAGUGAUUUGAUUACUUUUUAUAAAUUUCAUAUGAUAUGAUAAUUAUUUAAAAGUG